rnacentral:lncRNA from 1 species
GUCAAAACUGCUGAUUACUUGCUUUAUUGUAAUACAUUUGAUUUUGUAAAUAGUUGACGUUUUCAUUUUGUGUUCUUUUAGAGAAUUUCACAAAUAAAAGUUUCUAAAUUCUUUUAUAAGUUGUGUUUUUUGUGUGUCCUUGCGAAAGAAGCGAUAUAUAGAGAAUAAUACACGGUGAAAUCCGUAACACAUUAUGUAUCACCCCGAGUAACCAAUACCAGCAGAGGGCCGAAGUCCUGAAGGCUAAUAUUGUCGAGGGUGAUACAGCAUGUGCUACGGAUUUUAUCAUUAUUAAAACGGAGGACUUUAAAUUUUCCAAAUUGAAGUCUUCUUACGAAAAAUAUAUUGGUUAAGGAUUGAUAUAUUAUCCAAUAUAGAUUUGACAUCACACAGUAGGCAGACCUAGUGCCGACUUUUCAUGCUACACUCUUGGACCAGUACUGCAGCAGCACUACGUAUGCAUUCAAGUUCCUAAAAGAAUGUGCCAGCGUGUAUGGUCCACCACCAAAAUGAC